UACGGAGGAUGCAAGCGUUAUCCGGAAUUAUUGAGCGUAAAGCGUCCGCAGGUGGCACUUCAAGUCUGCUGUCAAAGACCGGGGCUUAACCCUGGAAAGGCAGUGGAAACUGAAGCGCUAGAGUGUGGCAGGGGUAGAGGGAAUUCCCGGUGUAGCGGUGAAAUGCGUAGAGAUCGGGAAGAACAUCGGUGGCGAAAGCGCUCUACUGGGCCAUAACUGACACUCAGGGACGAAAGCUAGGGGAGCGAAUGGG
rnacentral:rRNA from 1 species